rnacentral:lncRNA from 1 species
ACUCCUCCGAUAUCAACGGUUGUUGAUCCGAUACCAAUUGUUAGGAUUUCGUAACGGAAGCGUCAACUCGCGUUUUUACUAUAAAUCCAUAUUCUUAGUAAAAACUGAUACAAUCACAAAAGAGAAAAAAUCAAUUACACAAAAUAUACGGGCAAAAUAAGAUCCACUAAAUAAGAAAAGAUUACAUCUUAUUCUUCUUCUAAAUAAAGUAGUUUUAAUCUGGACUCUCUUUCUGAAUCUCUCUCAUCCUUCUCUCGUCUUCUAUAAAUCCAAAAAACUUCUCUCUCAUCUUGUGCAUUCAUGCACAAGAUAUGCCAAUGACCUCGGCCACGAAAACCGCACACGUCUUUUUGCACCUAUGUACUAGGUGCAUCUAAAAUCAUUACUAUCUUGACCAUGCUAUAUGGAUGUGGCUAAACUUUACCACCACCGUCAAAAUAAUAGCACUUAUGCUAUAUAUAUUUAUAACUUACAUAAAAAAUUACCAAAAUGCUUGUCCAAUUAGAUUUCUACUCUAAUUAAUAUUUAAAUUUUAAUUUAUUUCUAACAAAUUUAAAUAUUAAUUCUAAUCCAAUUAGAAAUCAACAACAAAUUUAAUCAAAUCCUAACAAAAACCAUAACAGUAGCUUAU